rnacentral:rRNA from 1 species
AUUGAACGCUGGCGGCAGGCCUAACACAUGCAAGUCGAGCGGAUGACGGGAGCUUGCUCCUUGAUUCAGCGGCGGACGGGUGAGUAAUGCCUAGGAAUCUGCCUGGUAGUGGGGGACAACGUUUCGAAAGGAACGCUAAUACCGCAUACGUCCUACGGGAGAAAGCAGGGGACCUUCGGGCCUUGCGCUAUCAGAUGAGCCUAGGUCGGAUUAGCUAGUUGGUGGGGUAAUGGCUCACCAAGGCGACGAUCCGUAACUGGUCUGAGAGGAUGAUCAGUCACACUGGAACUGAGACACGGUCCAGCCUCCUACGGGAGGCAGCAGUGGGGAAUAUUGGACAAGGGGCGAAAGCCUGAUCCAGCCAUGCCGCGUGUGUGAAGAAGGUCUUCGGAUUGUAAAGCACUUUAAGUUGGGAGGAAGGGCAGUAAGUUAAUACCUUGCUGUUUUGACGUUACCGACAGAAUAAGCACCGGCUAACUCUGUGCCAGCCGCCGUGGUAAAAC